rnacentral:rRNA from 1 species
GAUGAACGCUAGCUACAGGCUUAACACAUGCAAGUCGAGGGACCGGCGCACGGGUGCGUAACACGUAUCCAACCUGCACUUUACCCGGGGAUAGACUUUCGACAGUAAGAUUAAUACCAGAAGUAAAGGAUGGGGAUGCGUUCCAUUAGGUUGUUGGUGAGGGAACGGCUCACAAAGCCUUCGAUGGAUAGGGGUUCUGAGAGGAAGGUCCCCGACAUUGGAACUGAGAACCGGUCCAAACUCCGACGGGAGGCAGAAGUGAGGAAUAUUGGUCAAUGGGCGUUAGCCUGAACCAGCCAAGUAGCGUGAAGGAUGAAGGCUUAUGGGUCGUAAACUUCUUUUAUAGAAGAAUAUGUAUUAUAUGAAUAAGGAUCGGCUAACUCCGUGCCAGCAGCCGCGGUAAUAC